rnacentral:rRNA from 1 species
UACGAAGGGGGCUAGCGUUGCUCGGAAUUACUGGGCGUAAAGGGCGCGUAGGCGGGAUGGCAAGUCGGUCGUGAAAUCCCUCGGCUCAACUGAGGAUCGUCGAUCGAUACUGCCGUUCUUGAGGAUUGCAGAGGAGACUGGAAUUCCCGGUGUAGCGGUGAAAUGUGUAGAGAUCGGGAGGAACACCGGUGGCGAAGGCGGGUCUCUGGGCAAUUCCUGACGCUGAGGCGCGAAGGCGUGGGGAGCAAACGGG